rnacentral:rRNA from 1 species
UACAAAGGUAGCAUAAUCAAUUGUUUUUUAAUUGAAAACUAGUAUGAAAGAAUGGAUGAAAUAUAAUUUGUCUCAAAAUUAAAAUAUUGAAUUUAAAUUAAAAGUUAAAAUGCUUUUAUUAAAUUAUAAGACGAUAAGACCCUAUAGAAUUUUAUAAAUUUUAUUUAUUAAAAAUAUUAUGUAAUAAAAUAUUUAAUGAAUAAUUAUAUUUUAUUGGGAGGAUAAUUAAAUUAAUUUAACUUUAAAAAAUAUAUAAACAUUAAUUAAUGAAUAUUUGAUUAUUAUUAUAAUUAUUAGAAUAAAUUACCUUAGGGAUAACAGCGUAAUAAUUUUGGAGAGUUCAUAUUGAUAAAAUUGUUUGCGACCUCGAUGUUGAAUUAUGAUAAAAAUUAAAUGGAGAAAUUUAAAAUUUUAGUCUGUUCGACUAUUAAAAUCAUACA